rnacentral:rRNA from 1 species
UACGUAGGCAGCGAGCGUUUGUUCGGAAUUACUGGGCGUAAAGAGUGUGUAGGCGGUGCUCUAAGUUCGGUGUGAAAUCUCCUGGCUCAACUGGGAGGGUGCGCCGGAAACUGGAGUGCUUGAGCGUGGGAGAGGAAAGCGGAAUUCCUGGUGUAGCGGUGAAAUGCGUAGAUAUCAGGAGGAACACCUGUGGUGUAGACGGCUUUCUGGACCAUAGCUGACGCUGAGACACGAAAGCGUUGGGUAGCAAACAGG